rnacentral:tRNA from 1 species
UUUGAGGUUUGAAAUAUUGUUAAUAUUUUUUUGAGAAAUCCCUCAAAG